GGGAAAUUUCCCAGUAAGUCUUCAUAUAAAAUACACAGAACAGACUAAUGAACAAGCAGCUUCAUCAGCUUUGUUUUGUUUUGUUUUGUUUUUUAAGAAAAGAGGGCCAAAAUGAGACACCAUGGUGGAUAAUGUAAGGUCCCUGUGCGGGUCUUCCAUCGAGGCACAAAUGCAUAUCAGCGAGGAGAAGGUCUGAAGGGAGCUGGAGUCUGGAGCAGAAGCAGAAUGCAGGGAGAAAAAGAUGGCUGCUCAGAAUCCGAACUCAAGACUCUUAGGACCUGUUGAGCUUGACCAGGGCAGAAGCAGUCCUUUAAGAACCCACCUGAAGAAUAUGAGGUGGGCCUUCUUGGACUUGAGAAAAUUGUGGUACCAGGUGCAGAGUCUAUCCCCAAACUCAGCCAUGUUCCAGAGAAAACAAGGAGACCCUGCCUAAAGGAGUGCUACCAGCCAACAGCAGCAGACAUCCUCUGGGCUGGGGAAGAUGAGAGGAGGAGCAGCACAGGCUGGCAAGUGUUUGGUUUUGAAAAGCCUGUGGCAUAUUCAAACAAAGAUACAGUAGCCACACUUGGAGGUGAGUCUGGCCCCACUCUCCAGGAGUUUCUGGCUGGGAUGCUUGCUGUGCAGCCGACUG
rnacentral:lncRNA from 1 species